AUGGCACAUUCGAUACUUCCAACUUCUGUGAUUCUAAAAUAAUAAUUUCAGUUGUAACAGGGGAGUCUGGCAGGACACACAGUGACCUCCCUCUCAGUUCAGGAGGGCCAUCCUGAGUAUAGAGCUGGCUCUUAAAGGCACGAGAGGCCAAU